rnacentral:rRNA from 1 species
CCUACGGGCGGCUGCAGUGAGGAAUAUUGGUCAAUGGACGGGAGUCUGAACCAGCCAAGCCGCGUGAGGGAUGAAUGCACUGUGGGUUGUAAACCUCUUUUAUCAGGGAAUAAAACGAGGCACGUGUGCCUUGUUGCGUGUACCUGAAGAAUAAGCAUCGGCUAACUCCGUGCCAGCAGCCGCGGUAAUACGGAGGAUGCGAGCGUUAUCCGGAUUUAUGGGGUUUAAAGGGAGCGUCGAGGGGUGGUUAAGUCAGUUGUGAAAGUCUGGGGCUCAACCAUCAGAGGGCAGUUGAUACUGGCAGUCUGGAGUUCGGUUGAGGUACGCGGAAUGCGUGGUGUAGCGGUGAAAUGCUUAGAUAUCACGAAGAACCCCGAUUGCGAAGGCAGCGUACCGGACUGUGACUGACAUUGAUGCACGAAAGUGUGGGUAUCAAACAGGAUUAGAUACCCGUGUAGUC